AGUGAACGCUGGCGGUAGGCCUAACACAUGCAAGUCGAACGGCAGCACAGUAAGAGCUUGCUCUUACGGGUGGCGAGUGGCGGACGGGUGAGGAAUACAUCGGAAUCUACUUUUUCGUGGGGGAUAACGUAGGGAAACUUACGCUAAUACCGCAUACGACCUACGGGCGAAAGCAGGGGAUCUUCGGACCUUGCGCGAUUGAAUGAGCCGAUGUCGGAUUAGCUAGUUGGCGGGGUAAAGGCCCACCAAGGCGACGAUCCGUAGCUGGUCUGAGAGGAUGAUCCGCCACACUGGAACUGAGACACGGUCCAGACUCCUACGGGAGGCAGCAGUGGGGAAUAUUGGACAAUGGGCGCAAGCCUGAUCCAGCCAUACCGCGUGGGUGAAGAAGGCCUUCGGGUUGUAAAGCCCUUUUGUUGGGAAAGAAAAGCAGCAGGUUAAUACCCCGCUGUUCUGACGGUACCCAAAGAAUAAGCACCGGCUAACUUCGUG
rnacentral:rRNA from 1 species